CCUACGAGAGGCUGCAGUGAGGAAUAUUGUUCAAUGGUCGGAAGCCUGAACCAGCCAAGUAGCGUGCAGGAUGACGGCCCUACGGGUUGUAAACUGCUUUUAUACGGGACUAACGCGCCUUACGUGUAGGGCUUUGCAUGUACCGUAUGAAUAAGGACCGGCUAAUUCCGUGCCAGCAGCCGCGGUAAUACGGAAGGUCCGGGCGUUAUCCGGAUUUCUUGGGUUUAAAGGGAGCGUAGGCCGCAUGUUAAGCGUGCUGUGAAAUGCCCGGGCUCAACCCGGGCCUUGCAGCGCGAACUGGCGUGCGUGAGUCCGCGGAAAGCAGGCGGAAUUCGUCGUGUAGCGGUGAAAUGCUUAGAUAUGACGAAGAACCCCGAUUGCGAAGGCAGCUUGCUACAGCGGUACUGACGCUGAUGCUCGAAGGCGCGGGUAUCGAACAGGAUUAGAUACCCUUGUAGUC
rnacentral:rRNA from 1 species